CUGACAAGUCUCAUCACUAAGGGUCAAAUUAGUAGGAUGCCAAUCUGAAAAAUCCGAAAAUGAAGUUUUCAUUUUUAGGAUGUAAAUAACACAAUAAUUUGACUAACUUGUAUACAUGCUUUCUUCACAGAAACAGUCCCACAUCCUGCUCUCUCCCACAACACACUAUGCAUUCAGGAUUAUUACAUUUUACAUGUCCUAUGCUUACAAUUCAUUCAGAACCACUGGAAAGAUCACUCCCUUAAAGAGCUUAUUCACUCUGAGCCACACCAUUCAUUCAGUGAGAAGCUUAAGAAGAAACACUGCCACAGUGGUGGCAGGUUGCCAGGGAAUACUACCUGGUAUGAAAAAUAUAUAUGAACAGAACUAUCAGCUCACUCAACCUGCCAGAAUGUGCCAACAGUUGUUACUCUCUCUGGUGAAAACAAAAUUAUUUUUCAUUUAUUGUAAAGAAAAACACUGGCAUUUCCAUGACAGAGCAUUUAGUUGUAGAUGAGCCAUAUUCUAAUAAUAUAGACUGUUUUCAAGCUCAUCCCUAAAAGGAAGAGAACCAGAGAGGAACAUAUUUAUUCACCUGUAGUGUUCACUGCCUGAUCUUUUUAAGUGCAAGGUAAGUAUGCAAGACUUUGUGAUUCUAGUUUUAUAAAGUCCAGCUCUUGAGAUUAUCCCGUCCCAUCGCUAGAGUCUAUCUGGACCCAUCUCCUAGAGCAUGAUGGUCCAGUUAGUGCUGUGGAAUACUGCAUGAUGCCAUUUUCCCCACCCUCCCCGUUACAUGGCAAACGUCUACAGAAAUCACGCUUUCUCAGCACGUCAAAUCAUAUGCCAUCAGAUCCUGUUCUGAUGAACACAACAUGAGGAAAACAAACGCAAGGACAAAGAACAUCUAAAAUGACAGAAUCAAAUUACCAUGGAACUUUAUUGUUUAAAUAUUCAAAAAGAUAUCCACCACUGUUUUAUUCCAACUAUAUGACUAGUCUGGAAAAAGCAAAACUACUGAGACACCAAAAAGACCAAUGGUUGCCAGAAACCAGUGGAGAGGAAGAGACGAAACAGUGGAGGACAGAGGAUAUUUAGGGCAGUGAAACUAUUUUGUCUGUGAUACUACAAGGGUAUAUACAUGCCAUCACACAUUUGUCCAACACCAUAGAAUGUACAACACCAAGAGUGAACCCUAACGUAGACUGUGGACCUUGGGGGUGAUGUGUCUGUCAAGGUAGAUUCCUCAACUGUAACUCUGAUGAACUCUGAUGGGGGGUACUGAUAAUGAGGGAGGCUAUUCAUAUGUCAGGGGUCAUGGGGAAUAUGGAAAAUCUCUGUACCUUCUCAAUUUUGCUGUGAAUCUAAAACUGCUCAGAAAAUAAUAUUAUUAAUUUUAAAGCACAUACUCACUGAACUUGCUAUUACCCUAAAUUAUAAAAAGACAGAGUCACCUUGAAAAUUGCAAAUCACUAAAGAUCAAGGUAACAGAAUACGAGUACUAUCUCCCAAAUUGAAGCAUAUAAAAACACAUAAAGCAAUUAAUUUUAAUUGUAUACUUAGGCAAAAAAAAUUCACAAAAAUGAUUGAAUAUCUGAUCUUAUUUCAUAAUUGUAAACAGGGAUUUAGUACAAUAUGAAUCAAAACUGGUCCAUCCAUGAAAAUAAAAUGAAAGACAAUUUUUAUUCUAAUUUCAAAUCAGAACUUAUUAUGCCUACUUUAUCCCACAAUUUUACUGAAAGGUUAAUCAGAUAAGAAGGACAGAUUAUAAUUACUUAAUAUUGCCAUAGUAACUUAUGUACCAAUACCUGUUAAGUAUUCACCAAAUGUCAAAACUGUAAGCAGCCUUGCUAUUUAAUAUGAAUGAUGCAGCUGAAACCAGUACCAUGUUAUGGUCUAUCAUAUUAUUUGCUAUUGUAUUAUAUAAAAUGUUAAGAUAACACCAAAAAUUUACUCAGGGGCAUAGCUGCUGGGCAGCAAAGAUUUCAUAUAGCAGGCAUGAGACACCCAUCCUUAGAAAGGCUUGCUUGCAAGGCUAGUCCUUGGCUGGUGUUUGGGACCUUGAAUUUGGGAGGGUUCCCAGCAUUCCCUAACUUAGAAGAAGGGAGUGGCUCACUGUGCCUAAACUGUUUGUGCAAAUGUGGUUUACUAUGAACAGUUAAUUUCCUCCUGGGAGUCUAGAGUUUUGUUACAUGUGAGGGAGAGGAGAGGUUGCCUAUGUGACUAGCCUCCAUCGAAAACAUGGGUGCUGAGCCUCUAAUGAAACUCUGGUAAGGUAGACAACAUUGCACAUGUGUCGUCAAAAUUUGAGGCUGGGGGAAUUAAGCAUAUCCUGCUAGCUACACAGGAGAUGACUCCUGUAGCUUGUGCCUGGCUUCCUCCAGACUUUGACACAUGCACCUUUUCCUUUCUCAAAUGUUGCUUUGUGUCUUUUUGCUGUAUUAAAUGUAAUAAAUCAAAGCCCCAAGUAUGACUAUCUGCUGAGUCCUGUGAGUCCUUC
rnacentral:lncRNA from 10 species